CUUUUCGGAAUCCAAUUCCAAUCUUUUCCAUUUGAUACAGGAUCAGCUGAAAUUCAUUCUUUCUUUUUCUGAU